CCUACGGGAGGCUGCAGUGAGGAAUAUUGGUCAAUGGGCGCGAGCCUGAACCAGCCAAGUCGCGUGAGGGAUGAAGGUUCUAUGGAUCGUAAACCUCUUUUAUAAGGGAAUAGAGUGUGGGACGUGUCCUAUUUUGUAUGUACCUUAUGAAUAAGGAUCGGCUAACUCCGUUCCAGCAGCCGCGGUAAUACGGAGGAUCCGAGCGUUAUCCGGAUUUAUUGGGUUUAAAGGGUGCGUAGGCGGCUUUUUAAGUCAGCAGGGAAAGUCUGUGGCUCAACCAUAGAAUUGCUGUUGAAACUGGGGGCCUUGAGUAUGUUUGAGGCAGACGGAAUGCGUGGUGUAGCGGUGAAAUGCUUAGAUAUCACGCAGAACCCCGAUGGCGAAGGCAGCCUGCCAAGCCAUGACUGACGCUGAUGCACGAAAGCGUGGGGAUCAAACAGGAUUAGAUACCCCAGUAGUC
rnacentral:rRNA from 1 species